GACGAACGCUGGCGGCGUGCCUAACACAUGCAAGUCGAACGGAAAGGCCCUGCUUUGGUGGGGUGCGCGAGGGGCGAACGGGGGAGUAACACGUGAGUAACCUGCCCUUGACUGUGGGAUAACUUCAGGAAACUGGGGCUAAUAUCGGAUAGGAUCUACUGCCGAAGGGUGGGGGUGGGAAAGUUUCGGCGGUUGGGGAUGGAAUCGCGGCUUAUGGGCUUGUUGGUGGGGUGGUGGCAUACCAAGGCCUUGACGGGUAGCAGGCCUGGGCGGGUGACCGGCCCCAUUGGGCCUGAGAUACGGCCCAGACCCCUACGGGAGGCAGCGGUGGGGAGUAUUGCACAAUGGGCGGAAGCCUGAUGCAGCCACGCCGCGUGCGGUAUGACGUCCUGCGGGUUGUAAACCGCUGUCGCCUGUGCCGAAGCGUUAGUGACGGUAAUGGGUGAAGAAGCACCGGCUAACUACGUG
rnacentral:rRNA from 1 species